UCAUAGCUGUAAUAAAAAAAAAGUUGUUCUGGAAUGCUCCUUGCCGUAUCCGUCUUCUCCGCUUAGCCAAUAUCGCCUAGCAAUGGAGGAGGUCCUGUUCGAGGAGGUCCGUGGACCAAUGGAUCAGAUAGAUCGUGUACUCGCUCCAUGUUUGAAUGCUGUGCGGGGGAGCGCCGUUGGGAUGGAAGCGCCGGGGAUUGAGUGCUCACCUGGAGGCUGGAUUGGAGCGGCAGUACAGGUUGGUGAUGUGUAUGGCUGGGAUCCAUGCAGGCGGAGGGGAUCUUGUAGUUCUCCUAGGGAGUCCCGUCGCGGCAGCGUGCGGCCAUCGCGCAGGCACCUCCUCGCCCGCUCGGCGCGGCCCCUAGGGAGUUGCCGCUGCCGACGCGGCGUGCGGGCACCUCCUCGCCCGCUCGGUGUCGUAGACCAGGGAGCCCGGCAAGAAGACGCCUUCUUUGACUCGGCCUGGGCGCGGUGGUGCUGCGCGUCGGCGCUACCGCCGCCGGAGCUGAGAUCCAGGCGGCGCUGAUCCCCUCCGCCACGGUACAAGGCUACUCCACCUUGUUCUCUGCCGGUAGAGGAGGAGGAGGAGGACGCAGGGGCUCCUUUACGGCGCUGCUGGGCCUCCCCACCUCCCAGGCCAUGGAGCUGCUCCUCCCCCGAGCCGUGGCGCCUGCAUCAAUGCCAUCUCCUGCCCCUGCCCGCGCGCCCACCUUCCCUCCGAUCCGCACCUCGUGGACCGCGCGGAGGGAAGAGGACCUGCGGUGGCUGCGGCGGCCCUGCAACGGAAGAGGAAGCAGAGGCGACGCGGGCUAGCUGAGCGGCGCUUGACCCGGUGGAGACGCCGCCACCAGAGCUGGCAACAGCGGCGCAGGCGCAUACCCAGGGAGGCAGGGAGAGCGUGUGUGGUGGCUCAGAGUAGCCUCGCUUGCAGAUCCAACAUCAUGAACCAGUGAAGCAGCAGCAUGGAGGAGGAGGAGCAGGUAGCUCAUGACGGCGGAGACGAGGUGCAUCAGCAGGCAGCUCAUGCGGCGGAGAUGAGAUGCACUGGCGGCUCAAGGUGACGAGAUCCUGACUGUUUGCACCGCGACAUUGCUUUGCUUGCUAGCUAAAGAUCUUUUUUUUUGUUCUCUACUUCUUUCCUAUUCGAUUCUAGAAGAUGGACUAAGAUGCACUUAUCGAGCCGGUCCUAAUCCUAAUUGAUGCAAAUUUAGUGGCAGCAGCAAGUUUAGUUGUACAUGUGUGGUUAGUGUGCAGACUUUAAGUUAUCGUUGGCUGAUGUCAUUUGAUCGUGAAUGGCAAACACUUGCAUUGUACGUUGACUAACAUAAAAAAUUAUUUGGCAUGCAAAAAAAUAUGUGCAUCACGACAUGAAUUUGCAAAUAUUUGAUGUAUACAAAUAUCUGUUCAUGUUUAAUUAUCUAACAGUCCCGGCUUCCUUCGAGAUAUGUUCCUCUAAUGUUUACUAGGCAAAGUGAUUAUCCAUUGCACUCAUCCUGGAUUAGCGCCAAUGCUAAUUGCACAUUCUCGUUCUAGUUCUAGAUAGAUAAACUUUCUCUGUACUAUGAGGUAUUGAUUCGGUGCUUGCACAUUGGUCAAUCUGAUUUCGUGUGCGAUUGAGCAAAGUUAAUUGUGCAUGCUUAUGUAUUUCACAUGUUAUCCUGAUUUAGCUUGAUUUCUAUUUCGGCAUCAUAUAUUCAUAUUAUUUAGCUUAGUCAAAUCCCAACAACUACUUCACGUUUUUUGGAGCUCUGUGAUGAUCUCCUACUUGUUUAGCAAUUCAACUUAUUUGUCUUCAGUUGGUGAUGUGUAUUGACCAACCUAUUAGUUGUGUUUUUUGCACAGAACUAUGUGCAUCCUUAUAUUUAAAAUUGUAAGAUUAUUUGCUGUGUGAGAGAGAGAGAUACAAACUUCAGUGCAUGUACUUGUAUAUGAAGAAACUUGUGCGUCAUGAUGUAAAUAUUUCUCGAGAUGGUCUAUGAGCACAAAGAACAUCUUUAUAUGCUUAA